rnacentral:lncRNA from 1 species
UCUAGCGAAAAAGGCAGUAAAUAAAGCUUUCUGGUUAAGUAAUACCUGAUUCAGUGCUUUCAUUACCAUAUAUUUAUUACUUAUGACAUUUCCACAAAUAAAUAUACAGUGUAUCUAGAUCAUGCACACCUUUUUCCCUGCUCUUGUUGAACAUUUUUAUCUUACAUGCUGUGUUUUUGUGUCCAGUGAUGUCAUUAAGGUUGAUCACACAGUUCUCUCCCACUGGUCUCUCUUUUCCCUCUUAGUCUGCUUAUUGUAAGUGUAUCUCCAGAAUAGUUUCAAGAGUGUUCUUUGUUUUCUUUUGUUUUGUUUUACACUGUCCAGGACUUUUCCAUAGUUUUUGGUUGUUGUUAUUGUUGUUGUUGUUGUUGUUGUCGUUGUCGUUGUCGUCGUCGUCGUCGUUGUCGUCACUAGAGGAAUUAUUGUGACUUAAUUCACUCCAUUGUUACCAGAAUUGGCAUCCUUGGGUCUUUAUAUUUUUAUAUUUACUUCAUAAUGUAUGUAGUCACUUAAGUCUAGCUUUGAUUCUUGACUCUGCUGUUUAUUACUGAGUUAUUUCAGAUUUCUGAUCAGUGGGGUCCCCUAUAUAUAGUAGAAAUAAUCAUUUGAACAUUUAGAGUUUCCUUCAGACAUUAAAGGUGAAAGUGUACGUAAGACAUAGGCAUAGGAUCCAAAACUCAGUUGGUCCUGACAGAGGCUUCUUCCUUUAUGACCGUUAUUACCUGAAGGUGGUAAAGUCUCAUCUUCCCAUGUACAGUGACUUGCCCAGGAUUGUGCCUCUCUCUAUCCAUAAUACAGACCACUUAAGUUGAUCCUGGGAGGUGAGUUUAUGCCUCCAGAUGUUCUAGUUUCACUAUAUUCUAUGUGGGAAAAACAGGUUGAUUGUCAUUUGGAGAAGCAACAUUAUAAGGAAUAUUAUGCACAACCCGAGAGUUCUAAUCAACGUAAUUUUCUGUUUUGGGUGUCAGGACUACUGGACUUUUUUCUGUCAAAUAUAAAAGUCUGAUGAAAUUUUUGACUUUCAAGGAAGACGGACUGUUCAAUAAGAAUUGUCUGACUUAGGAAUAGCAUUUGUGUAUAUGAUCUAUGUAGACUGAUAUAUAUAUACAUAUUUAUAAAUAUAUCACAUGUUAGUAUAUUGAUAUAUUUAUUAUAUAUUAAAUAUAUAGUGAUACAUAUAAAUAAUAUUCUAUCCUUGAGAGCUGAGUUGUGAUUCAGAACUGAAUGAUUUGCAUCUGGAGCAAAUGUAUUAUUUCAAAAAUUGUUUAUUGAAUGGGCUUUUCUGUGAUUCGUUACCAUCUCUGCCUGACCUGUCUGUGAGAACUGUGUUAUGAUUGUGUGUGUCGGUUGCUUUGUGUUAUAUUUCAGCUAUAUGCUAAGAUUUUGCGUGUGCUUUCAAAAACAGAAGCAAUUUCAUGCUGACAAUAAAAGGGGAAGCUGGUUGAAGUUGCAUUAGCUCUGUCUCUCUGGUAAACAUUUCACAGUUGCUAUUCACAUUUAUGCCUGGUCAAAUAGAAACCCAUCAAUCAUGUGAAGCGGGGGUGAGAAUCUGAUCUCUAAUGCAUAGCAUAAAUUUUCAUAUACUCUUCUCUACAACAAAAGAAGAAUGCACAGUAACAUUUCAGAUUAAAAUCUGUCCUUUCCAAUUGACUUUACUGUUAUUGAAAAAUCAAAAUGUAAUUUACGUGAGGAAAUAAAAUAAUUUCUGGCAGGGCGUGGUUUUGUUCAAAGCAAAUGUUCAUAUAUUUCUCUGAUGAUUAUAAGUUUAAAAAUGUUUUAAUCACUUGUGCAGUUUAAGGUGAAUUAUCUUUAUCCUUAUAUAGUCAUAUACAUUAAUUUGAACUGUAGAAAACUAUAUUUUAUAGUAAAUAUUACCUAAAAUUAUGAUACAAAAGGUAAACAAAGCCUAUUUGCAUAGCACAUGAGAGUUAUAUGUUUAAUAUUUUAUGUAAUAUAACAUACAUUUACUAUUCAUAAAAUUUGAGCAUUUUUAUUACAGAUGAACUUAAUAAAAUGUUUACAAUU